ensembl:lncRNA
CCAGGAACGUGUCUUACUUGGUAAAAUCAUGGCUAAAGGGGUUGAGUUAAUAAGUGAGGUAAUUAAUAAGGUACACCAAUGUCAGUGAGAACGUGUUGCUUUCACUGUGUGCUGCUCCUUUAAAAUAACUUGUUGUUCAUUACGGUUCAUGUUGCAGAAUGUGGCAGGGCUGCAUUCCAUUUUAUAUAAGAAAAGGAAAUGAAAAAUAAUGCUCACAAACAGUUGGAAAGCAGAUAAAUGUUAACCUACCUGGAGCUAAAUUUUUUUCUUUUCUUAAGCAAGCAGAAAUCUGUAUUGUGAGGUUGAAGAAUGGUUGAAGAAUACUAAUUUAGACUAAAAUGAGUGGGGACAGAGGCCCUGCUAUUGAACUGGAUGUUUUAAGCCUAAACAAGCCAAAUGAAUCUGCUUCACCGGGACAGAGUUAUGUGUCUUUGGGGAACGAGUCUAUGAUUCCUCAGUUAACCCUGAAAGAGAAAACAUCUCAGCACAGGUUGAUUAAUCGUGAGGACUCUGACUUCUCUCUGCCCAGCAGUUUGUCAAUGAAAAGUGAGCAGUCAAUGGGUUAUCCUCAUAGCAUCAGUGGAGGACCAGUCACUACAGAACUGAAGAACACCAAAGAAGGCAUUUGGAGGAAUGUUUGUGCUUCUUUUUAAUACAGCUAAUGUGUUCCAUGACCCAGUUUUCCUUCAUGUUUAAUUAGGUUUAUUGGUCCCAGGUGUUUCUCAUCAUCCCCUUGUCAUGUCAUGUGUAUUUAAAGUGUUUCCUGUUCUGAGUUCUGAGUAUUGAAUGUCAUCUUUCCCCGCUACAUGUGUGUUCCUGGUUCCUUGGGUGUUAAUUAAAGUCUCUUUGUUUGAAGUCUACUCCAUGUCUCCUCGUUCCUCGCUCCGUGCUCCUCACAGUAGCGGUAGCGUGACAGAAAGGAACAUGAUUUUGUAUGAAUCUGUAUGAUUUGAUUCAUAAAAAUAUGUAUGAUUAAAAAAAUAAUCUAAACCU